GUAAAUGACUUGACCCAUUAUUAAUUUUCCAGGAACAAAUAAUUACCUGUGGGUAUAUGUAGAAGCUGCUUCACUCAUCUUUCUUUCAUUAUAUUAAAAUAAAAAAUUAUCUAAAAAUCCCUUAAAUUUAUUGUCAUCAAAUAUGCAUACACAGUUUGUUGUAGGAGAAUCAUCUUCUUCUUCCAACUUGUAUUAUGAUGUAUUUCUUAGUUUCAGAGGUGAAGAUACUCGCAAAACCUUCACCGGUCAUCUUUACACCCAAUUGUGUCAAGUCGGAGUUAAUACCUUCAUAGAUGAUGAGGAAUUAAGAAAGGGAGACGCCAUUUCAACCGAACUUGAGAAAGCAAUUGAACAAUCAAGGGUUGCCAUUGUUGUUUUCUCCAUAAAUUAUGCUUCCUCUAGUUGGUGUCUUGAUGAACUCGUUAAAAUUCUCGAUUGCAGAGAGAGGUUAAAUCAGGUAGUUUUGCCUAUUUUUUAUGAUGUUGAUCCUUCUCAAGUGCGAAAGCAAAAAGGGUCCUUUGGCAAAGCUUUGGCAGAACACAAGGAACCAUUGGUUGGAGCUGAAAGAAUGGAAAAGUGGAAAGCAGCACUCACUGAAGCUGCGAGUUUAUCUGGAUGGGAUCUGCAAAACAUGGCUGAUGGGUAAGACUUCUUAAUUCAACUAUAGAAUUUUGAAUUUAAGCGUUUGUCUAAGCAUAUAAGCUGGUUAAUUUUGGAACAUUGCAAAGUCUUUCUAUAUUUCUUAAAUUACAUAUCAAAUCAAACUACAUCCGCAGAGCAGUAUUAAUGGACAAAUUUCCAUUCUCUAUCCUCGAGUUCUGUGUUAUAUGUUAGCUAUUGAUUUCCAUUCUAUCCAGGGAGAACUAGUUUUAACUUCUGAUAUUGCUAAAAAAACUGUAGGCAUGAAUCAAAAUUUAUCGGAAGUAUUAUAAAACAAGUUCUGCAAGAGGUCAACCAGACACCUCUAGAUGUUGCUCAUUACCCAAUUGGAUUAGAUUCUUCUAUCCAACAUAUAGAGUUGUUACUGCAAAGUGGAUGUGAGCAUGAAGUUCGUAUGGUUGGUAUAUGUGGCGUUGGUGGAAUUGGAAAAACAACUCUGGCGAAAGCUAUAUACAAUCGAUUAUUUCGACAGUUUGGUGGUUGUUGUUGCUUUCUAUCAGACAUUAGAUCACAAGCUGAAGAAUCGGGUCUAAUCAAGCUACAAGAGAAACUACUUUGUCAAAUUCUCAAAACUAAGGAAUUCAAAGUUGAUAGUGUUGCUGAAGGUGUCAAUCUAAUCAAAGCAAGACUUGGGUCAAAGAAGGUUCUAAUUGUUCUUGAUGACGUGGAUCAUAGAAGCCAAUUAGAAUCCUUGACAAGAGAAAGAAGUUGGUUUGGCUCGGGUAGUGUAAUAAUUAUUACAACCCGAGAUGAGCAUUUGCUACAUGGGCUUACAACAAGUGAGAUACACCGGGCCAAACUUUUAAAUGAAAAUGAAUCUCAACAACUUUUUUCUUGUCAUUCUUUUAACAGUCUUUCUCCACCACAAGAAUAUGUUGAACUGGCACAAGACAUAAUAAAAUAUUCAGGUGGGCUACCAUUAGCUCUUGUGACAUUGGGGUCACAUCUGCAAGGGAGAUCCGUUGAAGAAUGGAGAAAUGAGUUCAAGAAACUAAAAGCAAUUCCUCAUUAUGAUAUUCAAAAGAUUCUCCAGAUAAGCUUUGAUGGACUUGAUGAUAAUACUCAAAGUGUUUUCCUUGAUAUCGCGUGUGCCUUCCAUGGAUUUUUUGAGGAUGAAGUUACUAGUACAUUAAAUGCGUGUGGUUUUUAUUCUGAAAGUGCUAUUUCAACCUUAGUCCAAAGGAACUUGCUCCAAAGGGAUUGGCAUAAUUUAGCGAUGCAUGAUCUUGUGCGGGAUAUGGGAAGAGAAAUCGUUCGCAGGGAAUCACCUCGAGACUCUGGAAAACGGAGUAGAUUGUUCAACCCUCAAGAAGUCUGUGACGUUCUACAAGGAAAUAAAGUCAGUAAAUUUCAUAAUCUUUAUCUUGGUUAAUACUUUUUUUUGUCUUUUUAUUUUACUUAAUUUGAUAUAAUUUGCUUAUAAUUUAUGUGUCACCACAAGAAUUCAAUUCAUUUGUGCUUAGUUCGUUCUGGCUUGUAAAUUAUCUCUAGUUGUUUUUACCACUCUGUACUUGAAAUAAACAUUUACUAAAGUCUAAACACUCAAACUAUCAAAGACAAAAUUAUCAAAUAAAAUUUACUUAUUCAGUAAUUAUAUAAAUCGGUUUGCUGAAAGAUAUUUCUUGUUAAAUAUCCUUUAGUUGGAUAUAUUGUGUAGAUUUAUUUUUAUUGGUAGAUAAUUUGUUCUCUUUGUUUGACCUUCAAUUUGUAUAAAGCAUUUCUCUCUCUUAAUUUCUCUUAGUUAACAUGGUCUUAUAGUACUUUUGUUUUUACUUAACUACAGGGUUCUGAAAAUGUAGAAGUACUGAUGGUAGAACGACAUGCAUUAAAGGGUGUGAAGCUGAGCACCAAAGCAUUUCAGAAAAUGAUAAAUCUUAGGGUGCUUAAAAUCGACGACUUACAUAUUAGUGGAGAUUUUGAGCUAUUGUCCAAGGAGCUCAGAUGGUUGUCUUGGGAAGGAUGUCCUUUAAAAUGUAUACCAUCAAAUUUUCCAUCUGACCAACUUGUAUUUCUGAAUAUGAAAGGGAGCAAUAUCCAAGAACUUGGUUUGAAUUUGCAGGUUCGUUACUCAAUUCUGCAAUUUCAUGUGUACUGUUAUAUCGCAACUAAGAGAAAGAAAAUCUUAGUUGACACUAUAUUUUGUUUAUUUUAGUAUUGUAGAAAUUUGAAGAAGCUGGAUCUCUCUGAUUGCAAGCACCUCAGAAAUACUCCAAACUUCAGCGGUUUACGAAGUCUCGAGACUUUGUGGCUUGAGAAUUGCUCAAGUCUAAAGGAGAUCCAUCCAUCAAUAGGAAAUUUGGACAGACUAACUGCUCUUCAUUUGUAUGGUUGCAAAAAGAUUACGGAUCUUCCAAGUAGCACAUGCCAGCUAAAAUCCCUUGAAGACUUGGACAUUACUUACUGCUCAUCUUUACAAACACUGCCAGCUGACAUUGGAGAUAUGCAAAGCCUAAGACAUCUCUAUGCACAAGAUACUGAUAUAAAACAAUUGCCCGGAUCUGUUAAAAUGCUAAGAAAUCUUACAGAUUUGCAAGUGGGAGGUCAAAAUUUAAAGGCCAAAAGGAGAGUUUAUCAAAGAAGAUCCCACCAUAUAGAAUCCUUGCCAAUUUCUAUUUCUCGUUUAAUCCUUCGAUAUUGUGAUUUCUCCGAGGCUGAUAUUCCUAGGGAUAUUGGGACUUUAUCCAACUUACAUGAUUUAGAUUUGAGCGGCAACAGUUUCCUCUAUCUACCCUUUGAUUUCUCCAAGUUACCAUGGUUGAAGUCCUUGCGUUUGAAUGAUUGUAUGAAUCUUCAAACACUCCCGUCAAUAUCAAAUUUAGAGUACCUUUAUAUUCUUGAACUUAGGAAUUGCCAAAAGUUGGUCAAGAUUACAGGGUUGGACAACCUCCCUUCAAUACAAGAGAUCGACACUCUUAAUUGUACUUCUCUGCAGAAUCCAUUCAAUGAUGGCUUCUUUAGUGCCCAUGCUCUAUCAAUUUCAUCUAGAAAAUAUGCAAUGUUUCAGGUAAGUCCCUUUAUUUUUGUGUGUCUCGUAUCACAUUAUUAAUUAAUGUUCUAAUUGUGUCUUAAUUUGUCUGAUGAAGCUGCGGUUACACAUUUAUCUCCAAAGCAAUGAGAUUCCAGAUUGGUGCAGCAAUCAAGUAACAGCUCCAUCUAUCUGUUUCACUAUUCCCUCCGUAUUUAAGAAAAAGUCGUUAGGAAUGAUUCUCUGGUUUGUUUGCGACUCUAAGAUUUUAUCCCAGUUUGGACACUUCCUUGUUUCCGUAUCCAAUAAAAAGCCUUUAGUUUUUUACUGGACUAGGUAUAUUACUACACCCGAAUCACACGGAGAAGUAUCAUGCGUAUAUUACAUAUCUUGCUUAACUAGUCAUUAUUCUGGCCUGAUGAUCAAAGGCGGGGAAAAGAUAACAGUCGAGGAGGGCCCUGACAAAGGUAGAGUAAAGAAGAUAGGGGUACAUCUGUUAUACUUAGACAAACAUGGUAAUGUUACAUCUUCCCCACCAAUCCUUGAAGAAAAUCAUUCGCAUUCUCAGAUAAUGAACAGAGAGAGUCUCAGUGGAAAUGAACUCAAAAAGAGUGUCAAACAGAGGAUAUCAGCUCAAUCCUUGAAGAACAUCAUCACUCGCUUCAAAUCUUAGUUGAAUCAAAAAUAACUUGCUCCAGUUUCUUAUCAACAUGCAAUAUUCAAAAUGCUCAUCCAACUACAAUCUGAUUUUUUUAAAAAGUAUUUUUCAUCCGACAGAUGCUAAAUACUCAUUGCAAGUUGUCAUCCAAUGAAAAUUUUGCUAGUGUGUACAUUUUAUAUCUUACUCAAAUGAUGGACCUUUUUAUGGCCUGAAGAUUGAAGGCGGGGAAAAGAUAACAGUCAAGGAGGGCGCUGACGAAGGUAUAGUUUUUGCAGGCAGUUGUGGAUCAUUCUUAUACUGAUCUCUACCCAAAAAGACUUUCAUCAAACUACUCCUCUUUGAUAAAAGAUCAAAGUUUCUGUGUUCGGUAGCAAGGAAAAUAUGUUCCAUGAAAACGUUUUUUUGGAAAAUGUUUAUUCUAAAAGUAUUUGUAUAUAUAACACUAAGUGGAAAUGUACUUUUCUGCAGAAUCCAUUCAAUGAAUGCAUCUUUAGUGCCACUGCUCUAUCAAUUCCAUCUGGAAAAUAUCCAAUACAUGAGGGUAGUCCCCUCUCUCUCUCUCUCGUAUCACAUUAACAAUUAAUGAUCUAAUUGUAUUUUAAUUUGUCUGAUGAAGCAGAUUUUAUGAAUUUGUGUCGAAUGCAAUGAGAUUCCAGAUGGGUGCAGCAAUAAAGUAACAGCUCCAUAUAUCUGUUUCACUAUGCCCACAAUACAUAAUAAUAAGUUGUUAAGAAUGGUUCUCUAGUCUGUUGGCGACUUUGAGGCUUUAUCCUAUUUUGGGAACUUCCUUGUUACUGUUGCCCAUAAAAAGCCUUUAGUUAUGGAGUGGUUUGGGUGUAGGAAAAUACCCGAAUUACACGAAGAAAUAGCAUGUGUAUUUGAUGUAUCUUGCUUACGUAGACCUUUCGAUGGCCUGAUGCUCAAAGGUGGGGAAGAGAUAACAGUCGAGGAGGGCCCUUACAAAGGUGUAGUAAAAAAGAUAGGUAUCCAUCUGUUAUACUUAGACCAACACGGUAAUGUUACAUCUUUCCCCAUUUCCAGAAAAACUUCAGCAGGGCAUAAAAGAGCAAAGUUCUGAGUCAAGCUUGGGAAUGAGUGAUGACUGAAUCUGUGGUUUCGAGAUUGCUCAAGUCUGAGACUUCUAUUUCGAGAUUUUCUUUUCUAAGAAGAGCAUGCCACUUACAAUCCUUGUCAUCGACUUCUAUUUCGUGUUUGUCUGAGACUGAUUUUCCUAAGUUUAUUGGGAGUUUAUAUACUGCAUAGAAGUUUUAGAUUUGAGCAGUAACAAUUUUCACUGAGGUUCUUGCUUUUGAAUGACAAUGAGAGUCUUCAAACACUUCCAUCAGUUGCUUCUGUAUAAAAUUUUGUUUUCCAUUGUAUACUGCUAGUUUUUUGAGCUGCACUAAAACUUAGUAAAAAGAGAUGAAUCUGUAUAGUGAAUAUACUUCUUAUAAAUGUUUGUGGUGAUUUAUGGUCAUUAUUUGCAAAUUUCAUAUACUCAUCAGUUCCUAUUUACUUGUCAAAUAUUUUCUAAUUUGAUUUCCCUUUUUAGUUCGUCAUUUUUUUUACAAAUGAAGGAAGAACAAUUAUUUUCUUCCUAUUAUACGCUUAAUUUAUUAACAUUGAAUUAAUGUCUUUGAAAAAUGUAGUAAGUAAAUAUGUUUAAGAUUCUAUCAAUUAAUAGGGUAAAAUAGUAAACUUACUAUACCAAUCAUUGUUUUCUUUAACAGGUGUGUCAAGUCAAAAUUUAACAAGUAAAAAGGGACGAAAAGAGUAUAUAUACUUUGUGAAUUGAGAUUUAUGUCAAUGCUUUGACUGGUUCUUGAGAUGUUAAAUAAUUCCAAAUAAUAUUAAUUUGAUUUUCAUGACCAAACACCUACUUAGCUUGUUGAUCUCAAUUACGUAAAAUCUCUAUAAAAGAUAACCAAAGAAUGUCUCGAAGUCAACUACUGGUCAGACUAUUCAAAAAGAACUUAUAUUAUAAGAAAAUAUUCAAAAAGGAGAAAAAAAAAGUGAAGGAGAAGAAAGAGGAGGUAAAUAGCGUGUAUAUUUAUGAUACGUUAAGUAAGCAAUAUAUUUGUUUAUGUAAUAAGUUAAUUGCAAAGAAUCAAUUACGAAUUUGGUUGAAAAUAGAAUUAAGUACUCUCUUCCUCUCAUAUUAGUUGAUCAUUAUAUUAAAAAUAAUUAUCUAAUAUAAAUAUUUUCUAUAUUAUCCUUGCAAUUAAUUCUUUUUAAAAGUGUUCAUAUUUGUUUAUAAAAUUCCAAAAUAUUUUUUAAAAGGGUGAAUUAAUAAAAUUAUCUUCAUAUUUAUGAUUUUUUAAGCACCAUACAAAAUGAAAAGUGAUCAAAUAAUGGGACAGAGGAAGUAUUAGAUUACUCACUCUGUGGUAUCAUAAUAUUAUCAUUUUAUUUAUUGCUAAUGAAUAUGUGUCAUCAUACUGGACAAAUUAAAAUGAACGAACGUCCCAAUAGCAAAUUAAAUUUCUUACUUGGGAUCAACAAGGAUUGUGGUGCAGUAGAAAGUACUCAUUUAUCCUUAAUCAGACUCUUGGGUUCAAGUUUCCCUUGGUAUAAAGUCCCCUUUUUUAGGGAGCGUUUUACCUCCAAUGUGGAACUUUUCAGUGCAAAUCAAAAUUUAAUCGGGUUCCAAUGUGGUACGAACAACAAGUGGAAAAUCAAAUCAAAUAAAAAAAUAAUAAUUUUUUUUCUUAUUUUUGAAGAAUCUGACACAGAUAGAGCAACAUUUUCAAAGAAUCUGAGUAAAAUACCAAACUAUGAUAAUCUUAAUAAAGGCAUAGUGGAACAUCAUGACAUAUUUGUUGUAUUUUAUUUUUAAGGGAAAAGGCUCAAAUAUGCCAUUGAACUUUCAGAAAAGGCUCAUUUAUGCCAUCCGUUAAAAGUUUGGCUCAUCUAUGCCAUUACCGUUUAAGAAAAGGCUCAUUCAUGCCAUUAUUUUUUAACGGUGGUUUUGCAGAACCAUUUUUUUAAAUGUUUGUUUAGAAUUUUGAUUUUUUAUUAUAAAAAAAAUAAUGACGUGGCCGAAUUAUAAUUGGCCACGUGUAAAAAAUGAUUUUGCAAAACCACCGUUAAAAUAUUUGUUCAUAAUUUUGUUUUUUUGUUAUAAAAAAAUAAUGACGUGGCUGAAUUAUAAUUGGUCACGUGUAAAAAAUAGUUUUGCAAAACCACCGUUAAAAUGCUUGUUCAGAAUUUUGAUUUUUUAUUAUAAAAAAAUAAUGACAUGGCCAAAUUAUAAUUGGCCACGUGUAAAAAAUGGUUUUGCAAAACCACCGUUAAAAAAUAAUGGCAUGAAUGAGCUUUUUCUUAAACGGUAAUGGCAUAGAUGAGCCAAACUUUUAACGAAUGGCAUAAAUGAGCCUUUUCUGAAAGUUCGAUGGCAUAUUUGAGCCUUUUCCCUAUUUUUAAUAAAGAUGAAGAGGAAAAGUCAGAGGUUGUGAAAUUUGUUGCAAUACUAUAUUUGUUCUGCAAUAAAUUAAUCACAAAGAUAUAGAAACGGUCCAAUUCAAUAAAUUAUUCACUUUGUGUGUAAUCGUAAUAUUGUUAUUUUAUUUAUUGUUAAUGAACGUAUAUCGUUAUAAAUGAACCGAGGGUGAGAGUAAACAAAUUAAAUUUCUUAGGACUUGGGAGGUAUCUUGCAAAAUAGUUGAUCUAAUACUAUACAGUGAACUUUCUUGGUUUCAUCCAUGAAUACUCAAGGAGAAUCAUCAUCUUCUUCUUCCCACUUGUCUUAUGAUGUAUUUCUCAGUUUUAGAGGCGAAAGAUACUCGCAAAACCUUCACCGGUCAUCUUUACACCCAAUUGUGUCAAGUCGGAGUUCAUACCUUCAUAGAUGAUGAGGAAUUAAGAAAGGGAGACGUCAUUUCAACCGAACUUGAGAAAGCAAUUGAACAAUCAAGGGUUGCCAUUGUUGUUUUCUCCAAAAAUUAUGCUUCGUCUAGUUGGUGUCUUGAUGAACUUGUUAAAAUUCUCGAUUGCAAAGAGAGGUUAAAGCAGGUAGUUUUGCCUAUUUUCUAUGAUGUUGAUCCUUCUCAAGUGCGAAAGCAAACUGGGUCCUUUGGCGAAGCUUUGGCAAAACACAAGGAACGAUCAAUUGGAGCUGAAAGAAUGGAAAAGUGGAAAGCAGCACUCACUGAAGCUGCAAAUUUAUCUGGAUGGGAUUUGCGAAAUAUUGCUGAUGGGUAAAACUUCUUAAUUUAAUGGGAAAAUGCAUAAGUAUCCCCAAAUUUAUGCCUGAAAUUUCAGAGACACACUUAUACUAUACUAAGAUCCUAUUAUCCGAACUUAUUUUAUAAAUAAUUUUCUACCCCUUUUCGGUCUAUGUGACACUAUUCUUGAAAGAAUUGUCAACAUGCGCUGGCCCUGAAGAUAGUGUCACGUAGGCUGAAAAGGAGUAGAAAAUUAUUUAUAAAAUAAGUACGGGGUAAUAAGACCUUAAUAUAGUAUAAGUGUGUCUCUGAAAUUUCGGGCAUAGGUUGAGGGAUACUUAUGUAUUUUCCCUAAUUUAAUUAUAGAAUUUUGAAUUUAAGAAUUUGCUUAAGCUUAUAAGUUGGUUAGUUUUGAAACAUUGCAAAGUCUUUCAAUAUUUCUUAAAACUCAGUGCCCAAUCAAACUAAGGGAGUAGUAAUAAUCGAUAAUCCAAGUAUCAAUUAACAGCAAUUAGCCUGUUAAAUGUAGUUAGAAUUUACUAAUAGCAUAGAAAUAUCAAUAUAUAAAAAUAAAUUCCGUUCUCUAACCUCGAGUCCCUGUUAUCUGUUGGCUAUUGAUUUUGUUUUGUUCAUCAAAUAUCCAAGUAUUGUUUUGCUUUUUUUACUUUUAACUUUUGUUGUUGCCAUAAAAUUGUAGGCAUGAAUCAAAAUUUAUUGGAAGUAUUAUAAAACAAGUUCUGCAAGAGGUCAACCAGACACCUCUAGAUGUUGCUCAUUACCCAAUUGGAUUAGAUUCUUCUAUCGAACAUAUAGAGUUGUUACUGCAAAGUGGAUGUGAGCAUGAAGUUCACAUGAUUGGUAUAUGUGGCGUUGGUGGAAUUGGAAAAACAACUCUGGCAAAAGCUAUCUACAAUAAAAUAUUUCAACAGUUUGAUGGUAGUUGCUUCCUUUCAGACGUUAGAUCAAAAACUGAAGAAAUGGGUCUAGUCAAACUUCAAAAGAAACUACUUAAUCAAAUCCUCAAAACUAAGGAAUUUGAAGUUGAUAGUGUUGCUGAAGGUGUUAAUCUCAUCAAAGCAAGACUUGGGUUUCAGAAGGUUCUAAUUGUUCUUGAUGACGUGGAUCAUAAAAGCCGAUUAGAAUCCUUAACAAGAGAAAGAAGUUGGUUUGGCUUUGGUAGUGUAAUAAUUAUUACAACCCGAGACGAGCAUUUGUUGUAUGGGCUUACAACAAGUGAGAUAUACCAGGCCAAACUUUUAAAUGACAACGAAGCUCAGCAACUUUUUUCUCGUCAUGCUUUCAACAGUUUUUCUCCACCACAAGAAUAUGAUGAGCUGGCACAAGACAUAAUAAAAUAUUCAGGUGGGUUACCAUUAGCUCUUGUGACAUUAGGGUCACAUUUGCAAGGGAGAUCCAUAGAAGAAUGGAGACACGAGUUCAAAAAACUAAGAGCAAUUCCUCAUUGUGAUACUCAAAAGAUUCUCCAAAUAAGCUUUGAUGGACUUGAUGACAAUACUCAGAGUGUUUUCCUUGAUAUCACAUGCGCCUUCCAUGGAUGUUAUGAGGAUGAAGUGACCAAAACAUUAAAUGCGUGUGGUUUUUAUUCUGAAAGUGCAAUUUCGACCUUAAUCCAAAGGAACUUACUCCAAAGGGAUUGCUGUUAUUUGGUGAUGCAUGAUCUAGUGCGGGAUAUGGGAAGAGAAAUCGUUCGCUUGGAAUCACCUCGAGACUCUGGAAAACGGAGUAGAUUGUUCAACCCUCAAGAAGUCCGUGAUGUUCUACAAGGAAAUAAAGUUAGUAAAUUUGGAUUAUCUUUAUUUGAUAUACAUUUGCUUAUAAUUUAUGUUGUCACCACAUAAACUUAUUUCAUUUGUGCUCAAUACUUCUCUGGCUAGUAAAUUAUCUCUAGUUGUUUGCGAACCACUCUGUACUUGAAAUGAGUCAAAGACAAAAUUAUCAAAUAAAAUUCAGUUAUUCAAUAAUUAUAGAAAUUGAUUUGUUGAAAGAUAUUUCUUAUUAAAUAUUUGGAUAUAAUGUGUAAAUUUAUUUUCUUGGUAGAUAAUUUUUAUUCUCUUUGAUUGACCUUUAAUUUGUAUAAAACAUUUCUCUCUCUUAAUUUCUUAUACUUAACAUGGUCUUAUGGUACUUAACAUGGUCUUACAGGGUUCCAAAAAUGUAGAAGUAUUGGUGGUAGAACGACGGGCAUUAAAGGGUGUGAAGCUGAGCACCAAAGCAUUUCAGAAAAUGAUAAAACUUAGGGUGCUUAAAAUUGAUGACUUACAUAUUAGUGGAGAUUUUGAGCUAUUGUCCAAGGAGCUCAGAUGGUUGUCUUGGAAAGGAUGUCCUUUAAAAUGUAUACCAUUAAAUUUUCCAGCUGAAAAACUUGUAGUUCUGAAUAUGGAAGGGAGCGAUGUCCAAGACUUUGGUUUGAAUUUGCAGGUUCAUUACUCAAUUCUGCAAUUUCACGUGUACUGUUAUAUCGCAAGUAUGAGAAGGAAAAUGUUUAAUUGAAAUUAUAUUUUGUUUACAUUUUAGUGUUGUAGAAGUUUGAAGGAGCUGAAUCUCACUGAUUGCAAGCGCCUCAGAAGUACUCCAAACUUCAGGGGUUCACGAAGUCUCAAGAUUUUGUCCCUUGAGAAUUGCUCAAGUCUAAAGGAGAUCCAUCCAUCAAUAGGAAAUUUGGAAAGACUAAUUGAUCUUCAAUUGAGUGGUUGCAAAAAGAUUACGGAUCUUCCGAGCGGCAUAUGCCAGCUAAAAUCCCUUGAAUACUUGUGCAUUAAUGACUGCUUAUCUUUACAAACACUGCCAGUUGACAUUGGAGAUAUGCAAAACCUAGUAAUUCCUCAUGCAUGGGAUACAGGUAUAAAACAAUUGCCUGUAUCUGUUGAGAUGCUAAGAAAUCUUGAACAUUUGCAAGUGGGAAGUAGAAAUUUAGUGGCCAAAAGGAGUUUUUCUCGAAGAAGAAGAGUCCGCCGCAUAGAAUUCUUGCCAAUUUUUAUUUUUCAUUUAUGCCUUCCAUAUUUUGGUUUCUCAGAGGAUGAUAUUCCUAGAGAUAUUGGAAGAUUAUCCAACUUACGUUAUUUAGAUUUGAGGGGCAACAAUUUCCUCUAUCUACCCUUUGAUUUUUCCAAGUUACCAUUGUUGAUUUCCUUGUGUUUGAAUGAUUGUAAGAAUCUUCAAACACUCCCAUCACUAUCAAAUUUAGAGUACCUUGAAAUUCUUGGACUUGAGAAUUGCCAAAAUCUGGUGAGGAUUACAGGGUUGGACUACCUCCCGUCAAUAAAGAUGAUCGACGUGAUUAAUUGUACUUCCCUGCAGAAUCAAUUCAAUGAAGGCUUCUUUAGUGCCCAUGCUCUAUCAACUCCGUCUAUAAAAUAUCCAGAUAUUAAGGUUUAGUCCCUCUUCCUCUCUCUCUCAUAUCACAUUAUUAAUGAUCUAAUUUUGUCUUAAUUAAUAUGUCUGAUGAAGCUGCAGUUAGAAAUUUAUGUCGAAAGCAAUGAGAUUCCAGAAUGGUGCAGCAAUAAAGUAACAGCUCCAUCUAUUUGUUUGACUAUGCCCACAGUACAGAAUAAUGAGUAUAACUUCUUAGGAAUGGUUCUCUGGUUUGUUUCCCACUUUUGCAAUGUAACCACCCGUCUUCAAAAGUUUGAUGUUACUAUUGGCCAGCCUUCAGCUUUUUUCUUGACUUGGGUACCUGACAGUCAGGGAGAAGUAUCAUGUGUACAUUACUUAUCUUUCUCAAAUGGUAGACCUUUUAAUGGCCUGAACAUCAUCAAAGGCGGGGAACAGAUAAGAGUAGAGGAUCACAGUGAUGGAGGCAUAAUAAAGAAGAUAGGAGUACGUCUGUUAUAUUUAGAUCAACAUGGUAAUGUUACUUCUUUCCCGGCAGUUGUGGAUCAUUCUUAUACUCCCAACCCACAAAGAUAGAUGUUUGAUUUGGGUUGAUAUAAAUUGUUAAGCUGACAAAAAGUUGACAAGCAAACUACAUACUGUAAUAAAUAGAAUUCUUACAAGUGCUUCGACAUUAUUGCUGCUUUGAUGUAUUUGUACAAGAUUUUAUGUGAACAUUCCCUGGCCAAUUGAAACAAACACUGUUAGCAACAUCUAAUACUAUAUCAAUCAUGAAAUUUUCAGUGAAACGUUGCCACUAUAACGAGGUUUGACUGUACUUGCAUAAUGUUAAACCAUCAUCGUACAAGACAUGCCACCCUUACCUACAAGGUGGAGCAUUUUCAUCAGACAUGCUCAAAUGCAACAAAUCCAUACGGAUAUGAUGAUCAAAAUUGAAUGACCGCGAAAGAAAUUAAACGAAUAGAAGCUAGAAUGUCAAUUGACUCACUAAUAAUCCCCUCAAGUACCCGAGGUUGCAUAUUAAUUCCUCCCAAGAUAAAACGGAUUAACCAUUAACGAAGUAGCAGUACCUCAAACUUCGAUAAUUUCAACGAACUCAAAAUGACAGCAACGAAUCAUACACAGACACGAUCAAUUGAUUUUGUUUUUUUAAGAAAUGUAUGCAAAAGAAGGGAAGAAUUCGAUGCAGAAAAAUGGGAGGAAACUUCUCUAUUUAUAGCCAACAAAGGGUAAAGGCACAACCCUUUGGAAAGAAGACAACCUUUCAGAGAGGUCACAACACUUUCAAAAAGGCAUAACCUUUCAAAUGGUCAUAACCCUUUAGAAAGGACACAACAUUUCAUAAAGGUCACAAUCCUUCGGCAUAGUCACAACUCUUCAGGAGAGUCACAGCCCUUCAUUUCCUGUUCACACAUUUAAAACCCAACAAUCCCCCACAUGAAUAGGGAAUGGCUAUUGUUAAAACAUAUGCAUGAAAAAUUGUGUGAUUUGUAAUUAAGGAUUGAUUGCCUCUGGAUAAGUGGGUUUCCCUUUGAACUUUCCAUAGUGAACAUAUAUCGGAUAUACUCGGUCAAUCGGUAGAUUUGAUAUCUUUGAACCGUCGAGCUUUGGUGUAUACCUAGACAACAUAAGUCACACAAUCAACCCUUGAACUGUUUUUGGUUCUCAUUGUUUUAUUCUUUUCGGCCAUGAACACGUCUCAGUUUAUAAGUGCGUAGAGAACUGGCCUUACCAGAUUCUCCUUGAAGCGGCUUACACUUCACACUUACAUAGGUGAUUUCUAAAAUGUGUUAUCCCAUAGAUACACCAUUUGAUAUACGCUGUAUCAAACUUAGAAAUCAUUAAAAAGUCCUAAUGCAUUUAUCCUUGUUACUGAACAUUGUCUUAUCAUGAGAAUGGACCAUAAAAAAUAUUUUGACAAUGUUGAACCGUCAUCAAUGACUUUGUUUGAUCUCCUUGAACCUAGAUCUUGGGAUCUCCAGUCUUCUAGGUAGAGUUACCGCCACAAUGACUUGUUCUCGGCCAUAGUCCCAUUCCCUUUGAUAAUCUAUCAACUCCCUCUCUAGUUAGGCCUUUUAUAAGUGGUCCGACACAUUAUCCUUUGACUUUACAUAGUCAAUUAUGAUAAUUCCACUAGAGAGUAGUUCUCUAACGAUAUUAUGUCUACGUCAUAUAUGAUGAGACUUCCCGUUAUACAUCAUGCUCCAUGCCCUACCUAUUGAGAAUUAACUCUCACAGUGUAUGCAUACCGGAGCUAAAAGGUUUGGGCCAAAAAUCUUUUAAGAAAUUUUGGAGUCAUUCAACUUCUUCACCCGCCUUAUCUAGAGUGAUAAACUCAGAUUUCAUAGUAGAGUCAUAUAAUAUAUGAUCAUGAUUACGUUGGCAUCAUCUCAUCCCAUUGACGAAUGACUCCUAAAUGAAUUUUGAUCAAUUAUUUCAAUCCACUUUCCCAUAAUGUGAAAGAGAUUCAAAGAAGAAUGGACUUUGAGAUGCCAAAAAGAAGAGUGAGAGAGUUGUGUUGACAAUUAAUAUGAAAGCAAGUCACAAAUUAUCUACUAAAGUCAAUCUAGUCCAUAAGUGAAUUAUUAGAGAUAUAAAAAUAAAAAUCUUUAUUAUUUUUAUUAGUGUGACCAAUUAAAAAUCUAGGAAGGAAGUGAAAAUUAAUACUUAUCAUGGACAAAUAAAAAUUAAAAAUGAAGGAAACAUGUCUAUGAAAUAUCUUGGGAACUUCCCUUUCAUUUCUGUUAACCUUCUUUGGGGAGGAUUGUAAAUGAGUUGACCCAAAAUAACAAACAAUUACUUGUGGGUGGUGUUCAUGGUUUGGAUAAAACCAAUCCAAACUGAAAAAUCGAAUCAAAUCGAUAAAAUAAAAUCGAUUUUAUUUGGAUUUGAUUUUAGAUUUUUAAAAACCGAUAGUAUUUGGUUUGGUUAUGGUUUUAUUCAAAAAAACCGAAGAAAUAACUGAACCGAUGAAUUAUAUACAUAUAUUUUAUUAAUAUACAUACUUAAUAUAUUGUUUUUAUAAGCAACUUUAAAGAUCUUACAUAUAUUUUCAUUAAUUUUUUUUUUAUAAUUUACUUAUUGAAAGCAAAAAUGCCCAAGAUAAAAAUAUUUAUCUUAUUGAUUUCAUAUAUAUGAAUGUCUAUGACAAUUCUUUGUGGAACUGAAAAUGUUAUUGUCUCUUCCUUCUAGGCCAAUAUAGUGAAUUUUAAAGUUUUAUUAAUAGUAAAUUUAGUGAUCAAAAGUUCAAUAAUUUAAGUCAUUCUAACUAUUUUUCGUUUUGAAUGGAUUGUUGUCACUUUUUUCACAUUUUGAAUGAAUUAUUUCUUUUAUUUUUGUGUAUGGUUAAUAACCGAACCAAAUCAAACCGAAACUAAUAACCAUCAAACCGAUAAAUGUAUAUUAUAUUUGAUUUGAUUUGGUUUUGAUAAUUUUAAAACCGAUUAAGUUGGUUUGAUUUUGAAUUUGACCACUAACCAAUACCUACUUGUGGGUAUAUAAAGUGCUGCUUCACUCAUCUCUAUUUAAUUAAAAAAAACAAAAGUUGACUAAAAUUCUCUUUAAUUUAUUGUCAUCAAAUAUGAAUACUCAAUUUGUUGUAGGAGAAUCAUCUUCUUCUUCCAACUUCUCUUAUGAUGUAUUUCUCAGUUUCAGAGGUAAAGAUACCCGUAAAAACUUCACCGGUCAUCUUUAUUUCCGAUUGUGUCAAGUCGGAGUUAAUACUUUCAUAGAUGAUGAGGAAUUGAGAAAGGGAGACGUCAUUUCAACAGAACUUGAGAAAGCAAUUGAAGAAUCUAGGGUUGCCAUUGUUGUUUUCUCCAAAAAUUAUGCUUCGUCUAGUUGGUGUCUCGAUGAACUUGUCAAAAUUCUCGAUUGCAGAGAGAGGUUAAAUCAGGUAAUUUUGCCUAUUUUCUAUGAUGUUGAUCCUUCUCAAGUGCGAAAACAAACUGGGUCCUUUGGCGAAGCUUUGGCAAAACACAAGGAACAAUUGUUUGGAGUUCAAAGAGUGGAGAAGUGGAGAGCUGCACUUACUGAAGCUGCGAAUUUAUCUGGAUGGGAUUUGCGAAACAUGGCUGAUGGGUAAGACUUCUUAAUUUAACUAUAGAGUUUUGAAUUUAAGCGUUUGCCUAAGCUUAUAAGUCAAUAGUGGACAAUAUUGAGGGACAAAGAAAGGAAGUUGGUUUACAUAAAUUGGGACGAAGGAGUAGUAGUAGUAAUAGAUAAUCUCCAUUCUCUUACCUCGAUUCCUGUUAGUUGAUUUUGUUUUGUUCAUCAAAUAUCAAAGUAUUGUUUUACUUGUUUUUUUACUUUUAACUUCUUUUAUUGCUAAAAACUGUAGGCAUGAAUCAAAAUUUAUUGGAAGUAUUAUAAAACAAGUUUUGCAAGAGGUCAACCAGACACCUCUAGAUGUUGCUCAUUACCCAAUUGGAUUAGAUUCUUCUAUCGAACAUAUAGAGUUGUUACUGCAAAGUGGAUGUGAGCAUGAAGUUCACAUGGUUGGUAUAUGUGGCGUUGGUGGAAUUGGAAAAACAACUCUGGCGAAAGCUAUCUACAAUCGAAUAUUUCGACAAUUUGGUGGUUGUUGCUUCCUUUCAGACACUAGAUCAAAAGCUAAAGAACAGGGUCUAGUCAAGCUACAAGAGAAACUACUUUGUCAAAUUCUCAAAACUAAGGAAUUCGAAGUUGAUAGUGUUGAUGAAGGUGUCAAUCUAAUCAAAGCAAGACUUGGGUCAAAGAAGGUUCUAAUUGUUCUUGAUGACGUGGAUCAUAGAAGCCAAUUAGAAUCCUUAACAAGAGAAAGAAGUUGGUUUGGCUCUGGCAGUGUAAUAAUUAUUACAACCCGAGACAAGCAUUUGCUAUAUGGGCUUACAACAAGUGAGAUACACCAGGCCAAACUUUUAAAUAAAAAUGAAGCUCAACAACUUUUUUGUUGUCAUGCUUUUAACAGCCUUUCUCCAUCACAAGAAUAUGUUGAGCUGGCACAAGACAUAAUAAAAUAUUCAGGUGGGCUACCAUUAGCUCUUGUGACAUUGGGGUCACAUUUGCAAGGGAGAUCCGUAGAAGAAUGGAGAUACGAGUUCAUAAAACUAAAAGCAAUUCCUCAUGGUGAUAUUCAAAAGAUUCUCCAGAUAAGCUUUGAUGGACUUGAUGACAAUCCUAAGAGUGUUUUCCUUGAUAUCGCAUGCGCCUUUCAUGUGUGUUAUGAGGAUGAAGUUACCAAAGCAUUAAAUGCGUGUGGUUUUUAUUCUAAAAGUGCAAUUUCAACCUUAGUCGAAAGGAACUUGCUCCAAAGGGAUUGGCCUUAUUUGGUGAUACAUGACCUUGUGCGGGAUAUGGGAAGAGAAAUCGUUCGCAGGGAAUCACCUCGAGACUCUGGGAAACGGAGUAGAUUGUUCAACCCUCAAGAAGUCCAUGAUGUUCUACAAGGAAAUAAAGUAAGUAAAUUUCAUUAUCUUUAUCUUAGUUAUACAAUUGCUUAUAAUUUAGGUUGUCACCAGAAGAACUCAAUUCAUUUGUGCUUAAUUCUUCUCUGGCUAGUAAAUUAUCUCUAGUUGUUUGCCAACCACUCUUUCCUAAUUUCUCGUACUUUUCUUUUUACUAAACUACAGGGUUCCGAAAAUAUAGAAGUAUUGGUGUUAGAACGACAUGCAUUAAAGGGUGUGAAGCUGAGCACAAAAGCAUUUCAGAAAAUGAUAAAACUUAGGGUGCUUAAAAUCGACGACUUACAUAUUAGUGGAGAUUUUGAGCUAUUGUCCAAGGAGCUCAGAUGGUUGUCUUGGAAAGGAUGUCCUUUAAAAUGUAUGCCAUCAAAUUUUCCAGCUGAGAAACUUGUAAUCCUGAAUAUGAAAGGGAGCAAUAUCGAAGAAUUUGGUUUGAAUUUGCAGGUUUAUUACUCAAUUCUGCAAUUUGAUGUAUACUGUUAUAUUGCAACUACGUGAAGGAAAAUGUUAAUUGAAAUUAUAUUUUUUUACUUCUUAGUAUUGUAGAAGUUUGAAGGAGCUGAAUCUUUCUGAUUGCAAACGCCUCAGAAGUACUCCAAACUUCAGGGGUUCACGAAGUCUUGAAACUUUGUCGCUUGAGAAUUGCUCAAGUCUAAAGGAGAUCCAUCCAUCAAUAGGAAAUUUGGAAAGACUAACUGAUCUUCAAUUGAAUGGUUGCAAAAAGAUAUCAGAUUUUCCGAGCAGCAUAUGCCAGCUAAAUUCCCUUAAAUACUUGGACAUUAGUUACUGCUCAUCUUUACAAACACUGCCAGUUGACAUUGGAGAUAUGCACAGCCUAAGACAUAUUUAUGCACGGGAUACGGGUAGAAAACAACUGCCCGAAUCUGUUGAAAUGCUAAGAAAUCUUGAAGAAUUGCUAGUGGGAGGUCGAAAUUUAGAGGCCAAAAGGAGUUUUUCUCGAAGAAGAGUUCGCCGCAUAGAAUCCUUGUCAAUGUUUAUUUUUCAUUUAAGCCUUCCAUAUUUUGGUUUAUCCGAUGAUGAUAUUCCUAGGGACAUUGGGAGAUUAUCCAACUUACUUUAUUUAGAUUUGAGGGGCAACAGUUUCCUCUAUCUACCCUUUGAUUUUUCCAAGUUACCAUUGUUGAUGUAUUUGUAUUUGAAUGAUUGUAAGAAUCUUCAAACACUCCCGUCAAUAUCAAAUUUAGAGAAGCUUAAAAUUGUUGACCUUAGGAAUUGCCAAAAACUGGUCAAGAUUACAGGGUUGGACAACCUCCCUUCAAUAAAGAAGAUGGACAUGAUUAAUUGUACUUGUCUGCAGAAUCCAUUCAAUGAAGGCUUCUUUAGUGCCCCUGCUCUAUCAAUUCCAUCUAGAAAAUAUCCAGAGCAUGAAGUUAGUCCCUCUCUCUCUCUCUCUCUCUCUUGAAUCACUUUAUUAUUUAAUGUUCUAAUAAUGUCUUAAUUUGUCUGAUGAAGCAGCGGUUACAAGUUUAUGUCGAAAGCAAUGAGAUUCCAGAUUGGUGCAGCAAUAAAGUAACAGCUCCAUCUAUGCGUUUGACUAUGCCUACAGUAGAUAAUAAUGAGUAUAACUUCUUAGGGAUGGUUGUCUGGUUUGUUUGCCAUUGCAAUGUAUUCACCCUUCAUCAAUACUUCGAUGUUACUGUUGCCCAUAUAAAGCCUUCAGCUUUUCCGUUUAGUUUGGAUUUUGAUAUACCUGAGCCUGACAGUCAGGGAGAAAUAUCAUGUGUAUAUUACUUCUCUUACUCAUAUGAUACACCUUUUAAAGGCCUGAACAUCAAAGGCAGGGAACAGAUAACAGUAGAGGAGGGCACUGAUGAAGGUACAGUAAAGAAGAUAGGAAUACAUCUGUUAUAUUUAGACCAGCAUGGUAAUGUUACAUCUUUGCCGGGAGUUGUGGAUCAUUCUUAUACACCCUCCUACCCACAAAGACUUUCAGCAGGGCAUAUCAACCCAAACAAUAACAACAGUGAAAUUCCACGAGUGAGGUCUGGAGCAGGGGAUAUCAACUCCUCCAUGAUAAAAGAGCAAAGUUCUGAGGGUGUAUUCGGUACCAAGGAAAAUGUGUUCGAUGGAAAAUGUUCUUUUUUUGGAAAAUGUUUUUCCGGAAAAUAAGUGGGUUUCUUACUUGUUUUCAUUAGGUAAGAAAAAAGUCUAUUCUAGAAGUAUUUGUAUAUAUAACAGUAAGUAGAAAUGUUACAAGUGUUUGUAUUCAUUUUUUAUAGGUGGAUCCACCAUGUAUAGAAUGCACAAAAUCAAUAUUUGGUUGGCAUUAUGAUCAUAAUAUUUAAUUUCUACUCCCUUUUUUCCUGAAAAAAUACUAUAAAAAUGAAGUUGGAGCAGAAGAAAUUGUAUAAUAAAUAAUUUGGGACUUACUCUCUUAUAUGUGGUGCUAGGGGAGUGCCCGUUCUCAUUCUGUGAAAUGUGCACAAUUUUUUGCAGAUGAAAAAGGUGAUGGAACCAUGCAAUAUGCAUCAUCUCUCGGGAAUUUCAAGUAGUUUAAGCAGAUGUUUAUAUGUGAUAUUUGAAAAAAAUAUGUAUUUGGAAGUUAAAAUUGUGUUUGGACUUUGGUGGACAUGUAGAAGUUGGGAGAGGAAAAAAACUUUAUGUUAUUUAGAUUUGAGCGGCAAUAGUUUCCUCGAUCUACCUUUUGAUUUUUCAAAGUUACCAUUGUUGACGUCCUUGUGUUUGAAUGAUUGUAAGAAUCUUCAAACACUCCCGUCAAUAUCAAAUUUAGAGUAACUUCAAAUUGCCAAAAACUGGUCAAGAUUACAGGGUUGGACUAGCUACCUCCCGUCAAUAGAGAAGAUGGACAUGAUUAAUUAAUUGUACUUCUCUGCAGAAUCCAUUCAAUGAAGUCUUCUUUGGUGUCCAUUCUCUAUCAAUUCCAUCUAUAAAGUAUCCAAUGCAUAAGGUUAGUCCCUUUAUUUUUCUCUCUCUCGUAUCACAUUAUUAAUUAAUGUUCUUAUUGUGUCUUGAUUUGUGUGAUGAAGCUGCAUCUAUCUGUUUCACUAUUCCCACAGUACAUAAUAAUAAGUUGUUAGGAAUGGUUCUCUGGUUUGUUUGCGACUCUAAGAUUUUAUCAGAUUUUGGACACUUCAUUAUUGUUGUAUCCAAUAAAAAGCCUUUAGUUUUUUUUUUUUACUGGACUAGGUAUCCCGAAUCACACGGGGAAGUAUCAUGUGUAUAUUACAUAUCUUGCUUAACUAAACAUGGAAAAGAUAACAGUCGAGGAGGGCCGUGACAAAGGUAGAGUAAAGAAGAUAGGGGUACAUCUGUUAUACUUUGACAAACAUGGUAAUGUUACAUAAUAUACCUGACAGUCAGGGAGAAGUAUCAUGUGUAUAUUACUUAUCUUUCUCAAAUGGUAGACCUUUUAAAGGCCUUAAGAUCAAAGGCGGGGAACAGAUAACAGUAGAGGAUGGCACUGACGGAGGCAUAAUAAAGAAGCUAGAUAGGAGUACAUCUGUUAUAUUUAGAUCAACAUGGUAAUGUUAUAUCUUUCCCCGCAGUUGUGGAUCAUUCUUAUACUCCCAACCCACAAAGAUAGAUGUUUGAUUUGGGUUAAAUAUAAUUUUUUAAGCUGACAAAAAGUUGACAAGCAAACUAUAUAUUGUAAUAAAUAGUAUUCUUACAAGUGCUUUGAGAUUAUUGCUGCUUUGACGCAUUUGUACAAGAUUUUAUGUGAACAUUCCCUGGCCAAUUGAAACAAACACUGUUAGCAACAUCUCAUACUAUAUCAAUCAUGAAAUUUUCAGUGAAACGUUCUAUAACGAGGUUUGACUGUACUUGUAUAAUGUUAAACCAUCAUCGUACGUUACGAGACAUGCCACCCUUACCUACAAGGUGGAGCAUUUUCAUCAGACAUGCUCAAAUGCUACAAAUCCAUACGGAUAUGAUGAUCAAAAUUGAAUGACCGCGAAAGAAAUUAAACAAAUAGAAGCUAGAAUGUCAAAUGACUCACUAAUAAUGCAUCAAUCUCAGAUAACUGAAUUCCUUUGCUAAGGUAACUACUUACAUAGCUUCAGAGUCCAGACCAAAACAGAACACAAGCAGGGGUAAUUCAAUGUCCAAAUGUACUGCGGACUACCUCUGGAAACUCCCAUUGUCACAACCCAAGUAUAUAACACGUGUUUUCCGCUUUGGCCCUACAGACCUAACGGAUUUGUUCCUUGAGCUACGUCAUGUUAGAGUCUACUAAUAACCCGUGUACCAUGUGAACUUCCACUGCAACCUUUUCAAACACUUUACUUUCACUUAAGAUGUCAUGUGCGAUGGGUAGGAAGAAGGGAGGGGAGAAAAUCAGGUGUCACACACCUCAAACCAUGUUGUAGUCCCACAUCAUUUGUUGGAUGGAACGUGGAGUACUGCUCUUUAUAUGACUUUGGGCAAUUUUCUCCACAUGAGGUAACUUUUUAGAGUUAAGUUAAAUCCAAAUGAAAAUGACAUGAAUGAGUCAAACUUAUAACAUAUGAGAUAUUUUAGGAAUUUGCUUAAAAAUAAAAAGGGUCAAAUUCAAGAUGCAACUACAACAACUAGAUUGCACUAACCCAACACACAAGGAGCAAACGAUGAAUUGUGAAGAUAAAGUAUCAAGGAAGGUUGUGUGCUCUAACACCUUUGAUGCCUUAAUGAUCAAUUCCGAUCAAGAGCUCCAUGCAUUGUCCACUCCAAUUCUUCAAGUUUCUAAUCCAAAAACUACUAGAAUAAUCAAGGAGUCAUAUGCCACAAUGUUGAAUGAAGAAAACCCAAUGGUCAAACCACCUAUGGCAACAAUCAACACCUCGAAUCAUGAUGUUCCUAAUUCUCCAUCNNNNNNNNNNNNNNNNNNNNNNNNNNNNNNNNNNNNNNNNNNNNNNNNNNNNNNNNNNNNNNNNNNNNNNNNNNNNNNNNNNNNNNNNNNNNNNNNNNNNNNNNNNNNNNNNNNNNNNNNNNNNNNNNNNNNNNNNNNNNNNNNNNNNNNNNNNNNNNNNNNNNNNNNNNNNNNNNNNNNNNNNNNNNNNNNNNNNNNNNNNNNNNNNNNNNNNNNNNNNNNNNNNNNNNNNNNNNNNNNNNNNNNNNNNNNNNNNNNNNNNNNNNNNNNNNNNNNNNNNNNNNNNNNNNNNNNNNNNNNNNNNNNNNNNNNNNNNNNNNNNNNNNNNNNNNNNNNNNNNNNNNNNNNNNNNNNNNNNNNNNNNNNNNNNNNNNNNNNNNNNNNNNNNNNNNNNNNNNNNNNNNNNNNNNNNNNNNNNNNNNNNNNNNNNUUGGCCUAGGCAACAAAGAAGUGGAAGCAACAAAACAAAAAGAAGACACAUGAAAGGCAACAUAGUUGUGAUGGUAAGGUGACUGAAGAAUUUAUUCCAAAGCACCUACCAAUGCGACUGACAAAGCAAAAUCAUAUGACAGUUUCAACAACAACAUGAUCCAGUAAAUCCAAAAAGAAGUGAAGAACUAUCAAGUUUUGUUGGUCAUAUUUGACGAAGAAGAGAAGAGGGAAAUACUUCAGGUUACUUUACACGGGCAAUCCAUCUCUUUUAAUUUUUAUAUAUAUAAAAUGAAGUUUGAGGUUGAUAACUCAGCUUUAUUCUUAGAUUUUGUAUUUUUGCAUUACUUAAGCAUCCUCAUUUGUAGUAUCAUCAUAGAGUGUAUCAUAAACUCUAUGAUGAACACAAAAUAUUUAGUUUUCUCUAGCUCUUAUUUUCUUCAUGCUUGUUAAUUAGUAGAUGUUCGUUACCUCAUUAAGAUUAGUAAGGUAAGGCCUAGCCCCCCUUUCUUGUACUUUUCUCAUUGAGAUCCUUUUCUCUUUAUUAAUAAAACUAGACCUAGGCACACAUUGCCUAGCGGAAUUGUUUAACAAAAAAAAAACUACUAUUAGAAUUGACCUUUGGUGGGUAGAGAAAUUUAGAAUGUGAAACCAUUCAAAUUAAAAAGAAAAAGAAUUGAAUGUUUUCAUUUAAUUUCCAUCAACUUUCCUCCACAAUAAGAUUGCCUAUCAAGAGUCCCACAAGUAUAAUUUCCUAGAAGGAUGAAAUGUACUGUUAUUAAUUAUUGGAAUGCAAAAAGAAGAAGCAUGUGGUUUUACUGUGCAUGUCACACUGAAUGAAAAUAUAUGUAAAGCACUUUUAGUCAAGUGAAAUCACAGGCAUACCUCCAAACCAGCUAAAAAAAUAUGAUAUUACUUAUAUAGAUUUAAUUAAAUACAUAAUUUACCUAACCAGUUAUCAAACAUGAUAAGAGUAUUAUUUAUACAAAUUUAAUAUGCGGAUAAUUUACCUCCAAAUCAAUGGCUUAGUGACUCGUUAAAGUGAAUUUUGACCAAUUAUUCCAAACCAAAUGAGAGAUGACUCUUGAUCAAUUAUUUCAAUCCACUUAUCAAUAAUGUGAAAGAGAUUUAAAGAAGAAUGACUUUGAAAUGCCAAAAAGAAAUUAAAGCAGAUAGUUAUACCGACAAUUAACAGUCCAUAGUGAAUUAUUGGAGGUAUGAAACAUUUUUCUUAAAAAUAUAUUUAAAGAUAAAAAUUAAAAAUUAUUUUUUUAAUAUUUCUAAACUGUACAAAUAAUAAUGAUCAUUGUUUUAAUAAUAUGAACAAGUAAAAAUCUACGAAGAGAGGGUAAGUAAAUAGUAUAUCUAUUAAUAUCAUGACAAAUAAAAGUGAAAUACACAUUUCUAUGAAAUAUCUUGGAAACUUCCCUUUCAUUUCUGUCAUGCUUCUUUGGGGCUUGUAAAUGACUUGACCCAUUAUUAAUUUUCCAGGAACAAAUAAUUACCUGUGGGUAUAUGUAGAAGCUGCUUCACCCAUCUUUCUUUCAUUAUUAAAACAAAAAAUGAUCUAAAAAUCCCUUAAAAUUAUUGUCAUCAAAUAUGCAUGCACAGUUUGUUGUAGGAGAAUCAUCUUCUUCUUCCAACUUGUCUUAUGAUGUAUUUCUCAGUUUCAGAGGCAAAGAUACUCGCAAAACCUUCACCGGUCAUCUUUACACCCAAUUGUGUCAAGUCGGAGUUAAUACCUUCAUAGAUGAUGAGGAAUUAAGAAAGGGAGACGUCAUUUCAACCGAACUUGAGAAAGCAAUUGAACAAUCAAGGGUUGCCAUUGUUGUUUUCUCCAAAAAUUAUGCUUCCUCUAGUUGGUGUCUUGAUGAACUUGUCAAAAUUCUCGAUUGCAGAGUGAGGUUAAAAGCAGGUAGUUUUGCCUAUUUUCUAUGAUGUUGAUCCUUCUCAAGUGCGAAGGCAAACUGGGUCCUUUGGUGAAGCUUUGGCAAAACAUAAGGAACGAUUGUUUGGAGCUCAAAGAGUGGAGAAGUGGAAAGUUGCACUAACCGAAGCUGCGAAUUUAUCUGGAUGGGAUUUGCGAAAUAUUGCUGAUGGGUAAGACUUCUUAAUUCAACUUAAAUUCCAUGUCAAAUCAAACAACAUCACAUGAACUGGGACGAGGAAGUAGUAGUAAUGGGCAAUCUCCAUUCUCUAACCUCAAUUUCCCUAUUGGUUAUUGUCUGUUGGGUAUGGAUUUUGUUUUGUUCAUCAAAUAUUUUCAAAUAUCAAAGUUUCGUUUUUUAAAUUUUAACUCUGUUAUUGCUGAAAAACCGUAGGCAUGAAUCAAAAUUUAUUGGAAGUAUUAUAAAACAAGUUCUGCAAGAGGCCAACCAGACACCUCUAGAUGUUGCUCAUUACCCAAUUGGAUUAGAUUCUCCUAUCGAGCAUAUAGAGUUGUUACUGCAAAGUGGAUGUGGGCAUGAAGUUCGCAUGGUUGGUAUAUGUGGCGUUGGUGGAAUUGGAAAAACAACUCUAGCAAAAGCUAUCUACAAUCGAAUAUUUCAACAGUUUAGUGGUAGUUGCUUCCUUUCGGACAUUAGAUCAAAAGCUGAAGAAUUGGGUCUUGUCAAGCUACAAGAAAAAGUACUUUGUCAAAUUCUCAAAACUAAGGAGUUCGAAGUUGAUAGCGUUGCUGAAGGUGUCAAUCUAAUCAAAGCAAGACUUGGGUCAAAGAAGGUUCUAAUUGUUCUUGAUGAUGUGGAUCAUAGAUGCCAAUUAGAAUCCUUAACAAGAGAAAGAAGUUGGUUUGGCUCUGGUAGUGUAAUAAUUAUUACAACCCGAGACGAGCAAUUGCUACAUGGGCUUACAACAAAUGAGAUAUACCAGGCCAAACUUUUAAAUGAAAAUGAAGCUCAGCAACUUUUUUAUUGCCAUGCUUUUAACAGUCUUUCUCCACCACAAGAAUAUGUUAAACUGGCACAAGACAUAAUAAAAUAUUCAUAUGGGCUACCAUUAGCUCUUGUGACAUUAGGGUCACAUCUACAAGGGAGAUCCGUUAAAGAAUGGAGAGAUGAGUUCAAUAAACUAAAAGCAAUUCCUCAUUGUGAUGUUCAAAAGAUUCUCCAGAUAAGCUUUGAUGGACUUGAUGAUAAUACUCAGAGUGUUUUCCUUGAUAUCGCAUGCGCCUUCCAAGGUUUUUUUGAGGAUGAAGUUACUAAUACAUUAAAUGCGUGUGGUUUUUAUUCUGAAAGUGCUAUUUCAACCUUAGUCCAAAGGAACUUGCUCCAAAGGAAUUGUCGUAAGUUAGUGAUGCAUGAUCUAGUGCGGGAUAUGGGAAGAGAAAUCGUUCGCAUGGAAUCACCUCGAGACUGUGGAAAACGGAGUAGAUUGUUCAACCCUCAAGAAGUCCUUGAUGUCCUACAAGGAAAUAAAGUCAGUAAAUUUCAUUAUCUUUAUCUUGGUUAUACUUUCUUUUCUCUUCUUUUUUUUUCAUUUAAUUUGAUAUACAUUUGCUUAUAAUUUAGGUUGUCACCACAAUAACUCAAUUCAUUUGUGCUUAAUUCUUCUCUGGCUGGUAAAUUAUCUCUAGUUGUUUGACAACCACUCUUUCCUAAUUUCUUGGACUUUUCAUUUUACUAAACAACAGGGUUCCAAAAAUGUAGAAGUAUUGGUGAUAAAUCAACAGGCAUUAAAGGGUGUGAAGCUGAGCACAAAAGCAUUUCAGAAAAUGAUAAAACUUAGGGUGCUUAAAAUUGACGACUUACAUAUUAGUGGAGAUUUUGAGCUAUUGUCCAAGGAGCUCAGAUGGUUGUCUUGGAAAAAAUGUCCUUUAAAAUGUAUACCAUCAAAUUUUCCAGCUGAAAAACUUGUAGUUCUGAAUAUGGAAGGGAGCGAUAUCCAAGAAUUUGGUUUGAAUUUGCAGGUUCGUACUGCUAUUGUACUGCUAUAUUGCAAUUACGUGAAGGAAAAUCUUAAUUAAAAUUAUAUUUUGUUUACUUUUAGUAUUGUAGAAGUUUGAAGACGCUGAAUCUCUCUAAUUGCAAUCACCUCAGAAGUACUCCAAACUUCAAGGGUUCACGAAGUCUCAAGAUUUUGUCGCUUGAGAAUUGCUCAAGUCUAAAGGAGAUCCAUCCAUCAAUAGGAAAUUUGGAAAGACUAAUUGAUCUUCAAUUGAGUGGUUGCGAAAAGAUUACGGAUCUUCCGAGCAGCAUAUGCCAGCUAAAAUCCCAUGAAGACUUGGACAUUACUUUCUGCUCAUCUUUACAAACACUGCCAAUUGACAUUGGAGAUAUGCAAAGCCUAACUCAUCUUAGUGCAUGGGGAACCGGUAUAAAACAGUUGCCUGGAUCUGUUGAAAUGCUAAGAAAUCUUAAACAAUUGAAAGUGGGAGAUGAAACUUUAGAGGCCAAAAGGAGUUUUUCUCUAAGAAGAGUCCGCCGCAUAGAAUCCUUAUCUAAUUUUAUUUCGAUUUUAUGUCUUGCAUACUGUGGUUUCUCUGAGGCUGAUAUUCCUAGGGAUAUUGGGAGUUUAUCCAACUUAUUGCAUUUAGAUUUGAGGGGCAACAAUUUCCUCUAUCUACCCUUUGAUUUUUCCAAGUUACCAUUGUUGGUGUCCUUGUGUUUGAGUGAUUGUAAGAAUCUUCAAACACUCCCGUCAAUAUCAAAAUUAGAAAAGCUUGAAAGUUUUUAUCUUAGGGAUUGCCAAAAACUGGUGAAGAUUACAGAUUUGGACAACCUCCCUUCAAUAGAGAGGAUCGAGAUGAAUAAUUGUACGUCCCUGCAGAAUCCAUUCAAUGAAGGCUUCUUUAGUGCCCCUGCUCUAUCAAUUCUAUCUAGAAAACAUCCACUGUAUCAGAUGGUUAGUCCCUCUCCCUCUCUCUGAUCUCUCUCUCGUAUCACAUUAUUAAUUAAUGAUCUAAUUGGGUCUUAAUUUCUCUGAUGAAGCAGCAGGUACAAAUUUAUCUCAAAAGCAAUGAGAUUCCAGAUUGGUGCAGCAAUAAAGUAACAGCUCCAUCUAUCUGUUUGACUAUCCCCACACUACAUAAUAACAAGUUCUUAGGAAUGGUUCUCUGGUUUGUUUGCCACUUUUGCAAUGUACACAUUUGUCUUCAACGCUUUGUUGUUACAGUUGCCCAUAUAAAGAGUUCAGCUUUAUAUUUUGGUUGGGAUACUGAUAAACCUGACAGUCACGAAGUAUCAUGUGUAUAUUACUUCCCUUGCUCAAAUGAUACACCUUUUGAAGGCCUGGAGAUCAAAGGCGGUGAACAGAUAAGAGUAGAGGAUGGCACUGGCGAAGGUAUAGUAAAGAAGAUAGGAGUACAUCUGUUAUAUUUAGACCAACAUGGCAAUGUUACUUCUUUCCCGGCAAAAAAGGUAGUGGAAGAAAAGAAGACAAAAAGAAAAAGAAAAAGAAAAAGAAAAAGAAAAAUGAUGUUUGGUGGCAAUCGUGGACGACUAUUGGUGUUCCCCAUUUCCAGAAAAGCUUCAGCAAGGCAUAAAAGAGCAAAGUUCUGAUAGUUUUCCUUUGGAUAAAGCUUGGGAAUGAGUGAUGACUGAAUCGACUUUUUUCCAUUUGUAUACUGCUAGUUUCUUGAACUGCACUAAACCUUAGUUAAAAGAAUUGAAUAUGUAUAGUGAAUAUAGUUAUCAAAUUUUGUUUGAUUUAUGUAAUCAACUUUUUCCAUUUGUAUACUGCUAGUUUCUUGAACUGCACUAAACCUUAGUUAAAAGAAUUGAAUAUGUAUAGUGAAUAUAGUUAUCAAAUUUUGUUUGAUUUAUGUAAUCAACUUUUUCCAUUUGUAUACUGCUAGUUUCUUGAACUGCACUAAACCUUAGUUAAAAGAAUUGAAUAUGUAUAGUGAAUAUAGUUAUCAAAUUUUGUUUGAUUUAUGUAAUCAACUUUUUCCAUUUGUAUACUGCUAGUUUCUUGAACUGCACUAAACCUUAGUUAAAAGAAUUGAAUAUGUAUAGUGAAUAUAGUUAUCAAAUUUUGUUUGAUUUAUGUAAUCAACUUUUUCCAUUUGUAUACUGCUAGUUUCUUACUCAUGGUCUUUUGAGAUUCGCUUUGCUAGCUUUCACAUUACACCUAAUUAUUUUCUGUCCUAACAUUAUGAUCAUAAUAUUUAAUUUCUACUCCCUUUUUUCCUGAAAAAAUACUAUAAGAAAAUGAAGUUGGAGCAGAAGAAAUUGUAUAAUAAAUAAUUUGGGACUUACUCUCUUAUAUGUGGUGCUGGGGGAGUGCCUGUUCUCAUUCUGUGAAAUGUGCACAAUUUUUUGCAGACGUUUAAUUAUAUGUGAUAUUUGAUAAAAAAAAGAAAAAUUUGGAAGUUGAAGUUGUGUUUAGAAUUUGGUGGAUAUGUAGAAGUUGCGAGCGGAAACAACUCACUUAAAAAGCUGGUCAAAAUUACGGUAUCAAAAUUAUGUUAUGUUGAGUAUAACAUAAAAUUAUAACGAUUUGUUAUGAUUUGUGUAUCGAAUCUGAAAUUAUACUCACAAAUAUUUCAUAUAGUUUAAUAAUAGAACUACAUCCGUACAAGUAAGGAACUAGUCAAGAUAUGGAUAAAGUUGCUCAGUCUUUCUUGUUCUAGAUUGUCACGUUUCUUGCUCCUUAAAAGUAAAGGAAGAUUAUCGAUAAGAGUUAUAGUGGAGUGGUAGGUACUUAUUUAUUUUUAAUCAGAGAUUUUGAGUUUGUGUUUUUUGGGUAUGACUGGAGUGUCUUUGUUGGGAGCGUUUUACCCCUAAAUGUGGGACUUUUCGACACAAAUUUAAAUUUAAUCGAACUCUAAUGUAAAUACCUAACACAGGAUGGAAAAUCCAAAAAGAAAAAAUGAAAAGAAAAAAAGUAAAGGAAUAUUGUUAUUACUCCUCAAAGUUCAAAAUUGUAAUACUCCAUCUUAAUCCCUUUAAAAUUUUACAAGCAGACUUUGAGAAAAUUGGUGUCUAACUGUGUAUGCAAUUUUACUUCUAUUUUUAUAUAAGUAGAGAAGUUAUUUCAAUAGAUAUUUGCUUCCAUUUAAGCAUAUUAAAAUCGAAUAUAAUAAUAACGCAAUUAUACUGAAUAUAAUGGAGAAGAGUAUUGUAACGAUUAAAAUGCAAAUGUAUUUUUCCCAAUUUAGGUUUUGUGCAUAGAAAAUAAGGGUCCUUCUCUUUGGUCAGCUAUUUCAGUCCAUUAGUGGAAAUUCCACUAAAAGUUAACAAAUAUUUAUCAACAACUAAGGAGUAGUAUCUAUCUUUAAUUUCUAGGACAUGACGUUAUUUAAUUAAAAUUCAUUUUCACUUAAUUUUUUUAAGUUAAACAAUUCUUCAUUUUUUGGCAAAGUUUGUCAAUAAAUUAAUUCUAGGAUAUCUUCGAAUUCUUUGACUAAUACUCUAGUCAACAAACUUAAAAACAAAUAUCCAAUUUUCAUUCAAGCUACUUUUGUUAACAAUCUUAAGACUAUAUAUUCAAAGCAAUUUUGAUGUAUGGCACAAAGUGAAUCCACAUAGAGGUUAAAUAAAUACCUAUUACAUAAACGUGCUUUGUAAUUUGACAUUAGUUGAUAUUUAAGGCCUACUAACUUUGGACGUAUAUAAAUAAAUACUUAAAUUUAUAUAAAAUUGAAUAAGGGAAAAUUAGCAAUCUAGUCAAAAAUCCUAACAUAAUUAUUAAAAACAUCUAUAGUUUAUAAAUAUUAGUAAAAAUGUCAAAAUGUCAAUAUUUUAGAAAACAUUGUGUAUCCUAAUUUAGUUCCUAUUUUACCUCACCUUAAUUAAAGUUUUCCAACACAUUCUCUCUCAUAUGUUUUUAAAAAAAAAAAUAUUUUCUCUUUUCCUAUUCUUCUUCAUAUUUCAACUCCCGCUUCUCUCUCUUCCGUUCUUUCGAAUUUUUUUUCCAGAAAUUGAAAAAUAUAUCUCUAAAGAUAUUCACAACAAUUCCUUAGAUUAAGGUAUGCAUCUUUAUCCAACUUUUAGGUUUGUUUACUAAUUUUAUUUUUGUUUAAAUCUUUCAAAAUUUUUGUUUGACCAAUUUCAUUUAGGGUUUGAAAACCUCAAAAUCACUCUCUAAUUGCCGUAGCUAAGAGGAUUACAAGAGGUAUCCAACUAAAUCAACAAUUUUCUAGCGACUUUUCAUCCUUUAUUGAUUAUAUUACCAUUACAAUAUUUACAUGUUCAGUUGAAGUUGUUAAAAUCAUAAAAAUCAUGAUUUUCUAUUAGUCUCAAGUAUCUAUAACAAUUUUCUUUUGUAUUCAAAAUUCAUUAAGUAUGUGUAUUGAUAUAAAAUAAUAUUGCCAUUGUCUAUGGAUAUUGUGGGUUUGUUAGUAUAGAUAUUGUAUUCCUUAUUUUUCUUGUAUUUGUGGACAUUCUGUUAGUUUUGAUAAUAUACCCACAUACUUGGACUCAUCAUAUCUUUGUAUCCUUUUCUAGUUGUGGACAUUGUAAUAGUGUUAAUUGUAUCCAAUCAAUUAAAGAUACAUAUUUACUUUAUAUAGUUGUAUUCAUUUUUUAAGAAAUAGUGAUGCUAUUUCAGAUUGUAUUCAUGUUUUAUUAUUUGAUGGUUUUGUAUUCAUUAUGUUAUAUCUGUUGUAUGUAUUUUGUGUGCAGUAUAGUUUGUUUUGUGAUAAAACAUGUUUCGGUCAUUAUAUGAGAAUCAAGUAUUCGUUAACUGUUGAAUCAUUAAUUUGUUUGGAAGUUUGGACAUGAAAGUUUUUUAAAUUUUCCGGGUAAUUAUAAUUUUUUGGAUGACGAGACAACAUGAAAGUUUUUAAAAUUUCUCGGGUAAUUAUAAUUUUUUUGAAUGAUGAGACAGAGUUUUACUAAUGCACAAGUGAAUACGGAUUCAGAUUUGGAUUUGGUGAACAAAAAAUCAGAAAAAAGGAACAAGAAGAAGAAAGAGAGAAUGAGAGAAGAAUGUUGCAAAAAUUGUAUUCUAUAUUAAUUUUUGUUUGUCUAAUUGUUUUUUUUUACUCAACAUUUGUAUUUUUAUUAAGAACAUUGUAUUUCUUUUUUAGUUUGUAGUCAUUUCAAUAGGAAUGCCAAAUGGAUUUGUAUUUCUUAAGCAUUGAUGUAUCCUAUUUCUUUCACAGUCAAUUUGUAUUUUUUUUAGAAUAUUGUAUUCUUCCUCAAAAGAUUGUAUUAUUUCAACUAUGUAUGCUAUUUUAUUCCAGAAUCUUGUAUUCUUUCUUAAAUUGUAUUCAUAUGUAAUAAUUAGAUUAUAUUGAGAUGCAAUCAAUAAUAUUUUUAUAAUACAAAUAAAAGAAAAAAUAUUUGACAGUCAUGUAAUACAAUUUUGAUCACUGGAUACAAUUUUUAGUUUUCACUAUUACAUAACUCAAUGGAGGAUCAUCAAUGGAGAAUUGAAAGUCGUUAAUGGAUGAUGAGGAAGAUGAGAGAAUUUGUGCCUAUUUUAGUCUCCUAAUCUGUAAAGUAAGUAAUAAUAGAUUUUCAGCAUUAUUUACUUAAUUUGAAAGAUUCUCUCCCAUGAUUUUCUCUAAUUUGUUAUUUGCUUAGUUGUAUUUUAUUGAGUUAAAUAAAUAAAAAAAAAAAUACAUAAAUCAACAAUAUAACAAAAUAAAAUAUUGACAUUUUAAAUAAAUAUUGAAAGUGUGGCUAAUGGGUUCUCUUAAAUGCUAAAAUAUUGACAUUUUGAAAAUUUUCCCAUUGAAUAAAUAGAUACAUACUGUAAGCGUCUAAAGUUUCAAUCCUGAAAUACAGUAAACAGGAAAAGAAAAAUAGCAAGCAAACAAUAAUAUUUGUAUUUGAAUUAAUGUGAAGGUUACAAUCUUUAUAAAAUCUCUUAAAAAGAUAUGUAAUCCCUUGAUUCUUCUCUCCACAGAUGUUCUUGAUUUGGCGGAAUACUUGCGGCUCAAUACUUGGAGCGAAGACUUCUUUGUAUGCGGAAGACUUGCAGAUCACCAAUGAAGAGCAACUAUGUAUUUCUGUGUGUAUGUAUGUGUGUAUCCCUUCGAACAAAUGACAUAAGUGGUCCCUAAACUAUCCUAGUAGGUUUAAAAUAGUCCUUUAACUAUACAGUUGACGGAUAUGAUCCUUUAACUAUCCACCUUUUGUCAAGUUUGGUUUCCAUCCAAUUGCGGCACCAGAACACCCAAAAAAAUCCAGCAAAAAACUGCAUAAUCAGCACCAAACUAUACAUAACACAUCACUAGACAACAACAUCAAACUGCUGCAUCAGACUACCAAAAAUCAGCACCAAACUGCACAAAACACAGCUCCAAAAAUGUUACCAAACAUAUUUCAUGAAAUAGGCUCCAUAAAUUAAUAACAUUCAUCCUCAAAUGAACACGGUAAGAUGCAGAUUAUCGGGCACAAUCACUAAAUUAACAAUUCCAUUUUUAUUAGCAACUAAUCCAUUUAUAGUAUCAUCAUGUCCCUUAAUUGACUCCAAACACUUCUAAUUAGUAAAUAUGUAUUGAGCAAGUUAAGCUUAACAAUAUUAACUUUGCUCAAUCACUUGAAUAAAACGCAAGAAAUUUAAAUUCUCAUUACGCGAGUCUAUUCUCCUUCAGGGCAUUUUUUUUUACUCCCCAUGUAGUUUUCGAGAAAACCUUACUAUAAUUUGAUUUCUAUGAGAUUUCCAUAACUCGACUUCUUUAAAAAAAAAUCAUAAUUUGAUUCUUAUGAAAAUUUGCCAUAAUUUUGUUUCUAUGGAAUUUCCAUAAUUUGAUUCCCAUGGAAAAUUUCCAUAAUUUAAUUCCUAUGAAAACUUACCAUAAUUUCCAUAAUUUGUAGGAACUAAACUUUCCAUAAUUUGUAGGAAUCAAAUUGAUGUCUUCAUAUUUUGAAAUCUAUAUGUACCCACAUUCACCCGGUGAUUGUAUAUCGCAUUGCCGCAUCAUCGAGUUCAAUUGAGACCUUCUCUCUCAAGAAAAUUCUUUUCCAACUCUGAUUUUCGUCACCCUUGUUUUUCAGCUCAGCGCGACUUUGGUAGAAAAUUCAUAUCUCAUUGUAGGGAUAUUGAAAUUGUGAUCCGUUUGAUUUUCCAGAAAAUAGACUCAUAGAGCUACAACAUAUCCGAAAAUCACGAUCAGACAACUCUCGAAUUUACUCAGGUGAUUUUUUUGAAUUCAGCCUAAAAUUCUGAUAAACUGAACGCAUCAGCUUUGUGCAACUUCGCGGAAAAAUUCAUAUCUCGACGUAGGAAUAACGAAAUCACAAACGGUUUGCGGUGUUAGAAAGUAAAUUCAUAGGGCUACAUCAUAUACGAAAACCACAAUUAGAUUGCAUCUGUGUUGAUUCAGUUUUCUAUUUGAAAUCAGCCUUUCACCAACCGUAAUUUUUUUUUGAGGUUACCACCUUUACUUUGGACAUGUUCAUACAAAUCUGAACUUAUUCUUUUGUUUAAUUUUUUUUUUCAGAUUUUUGAUAGAGAAAUACGACUUUGAUCCCGCAACAUGAUGCACUUCCGCGACCGAGAUUCGCCGCAUCCUCUUCUUGAAAUAGUGGGCGACGACCAACAAAAUCCAAAUGUCAAAGUUCUACUUUUGGAGGUUCAACCUCCUGCUAUCAGCGUCUUUCUCCCUUGUUAUUGGGGCAUAUGAUGAAUCUCUUCUCCUUAAGGAAUGGUCAAAAAUGGAUACCAAAGACGUUAUGAGAAACUUCUCGAGCAAGGCUACUAGCAUGAGGUUCCUUUACUGAAAUCCGCGGUUCAUCAUGACGCAACAUCUUCCAAAUCUUCUCAUUCUGAUGGAAGUUUCAACAAUUGGCGUGUUCCCUCUUCUAACUUUGGCAAUGCUUGCUACACACCUAGCUACUGGGAAUGGGUAGAGGACAGCUGCCCCGCCACAAGGAGAUUUUGGAGCUCAUCAAGGUCUAUGACGCUGUAUAUACUUCUUUGUUCACGUACGACUAUGACGACAAUGUACUCCAUGCUUUUUGUGAACUUUGGCGCCCAUCUACCAAUACGCUUUCUACUUUCGUUGGAGAGAUGUCCAUAUCACUUUGGGACUUACAAGCCAUUGGAGGUAUCCCCGUACAAGGGCACUUUUAUGACGAAGUCGUUCCCUCGGCGAAAGAAUUGACACAGACGGAUACUCAAAAAGAAUUGCUUCUUCCCCAAAGUUGUCGAUAUUUGUUUUCGGCCUUCUACAUAUUAGCGAAAGAUGAUCUCCAGGAGGUGUCCGUCCAUGAUUGGGUGAAGUUUUGGUUUAGAGGACCUAAUAACUAUGCCGAGCCUCCGCAAAAGGUGUCAAAGGUAUGAGCCACAAAGCCAAGAUUAAACCACAAUCCUUCUGGACAUAUUGAUUCNNNNNNNNNNNNNNNNNNNNNNNNNNNNNNNNNNNNNNNNNNNNNNNNNNNNNNNNNNNNNNNNNNNNNNNNNNNNNNNACUGACGAGGAGAAUGCCCCCUUUGUCGAGUUAGAUGUGGAAGAAUCACUUAGAGAUGAGACUAACUUGGCAGCCUUCUUUGCUUGUUGGCUUUGCAAAUUUGUGCUUCUGAAUAAGAAAGUCAACUAUGUGCGCGCUAGUGUUUUUAAAGUUGGGAGCUUGAUGGCUCAUGGAAAGAAAUUCUCCUUAGCGGUCCCAGUUCUUGCAAGCAUAUAUCGCGGCCUGAAAGAAAUCUCUACUUCUUUAAACUCGAGUGUGGCAAUUAUAAUUUUCCCCAUACACUAUGUAUAUGGUUGGCUUGGGGAAUACUUUGGGACUCAUCAUCGUGCCAAUCGUUCACAUCGAUCGAUACCUCUUUGCAAAAUUUCUGGCGAGAAGAUGGCCAAGUGUUUUAAUUUUACUGACGCCCAAAAGUUAUUUCAACAGGAUGAUGCCCGUCGUCUCCAUCAUUUAGCAAUGCUGCAAGGGAGGGAUUUGCACCUUACUGAUAAUGGCAAGCUUUCAAAUUCGUGGAAUGAAUAUAUCAUAAACCUUCGUUCAAGCUAUGUAACCCUUAGGCAUGAUUCAAAUUUCAUCGUGGAGUCCUACAGCCCUACCAGCUUUAGUCGACAAUUCGAUUUUUGUCAAGAUGUUCCCGGAGAUCUUAUGGAGCGUCCUUACGAUGGUACAUUAUUAACAUUGGUGCAACUUUGGAUUCCUCUUUUCGACUUAAUACUUUUUCUAAAGUCAUGAUUCCAACGUGCCCAUUAGAGGGUGCUCCUUUAAUGACCCGCGAGUAUGUAGACUGGUGGCCAUCCCAAAGGCUGAAUACUUCCCAAGGAAACCUCCGCAUCAUUUUGAAGAAGACGAAGCAAGACUCUACAUCCAUUUCAUCUAAAGGGGCUUCUGAUCAAUCAAAGGAAAAGUCACAUCCUUCUUCCAAAUCUCAAGUGAAGUCAAAUGAUACUCUGCAAGUCGCUAAGACCUCAUCCAAGUCUAAAACCUCAAAAGAUAAGGAUGUGCCUGCGAAAUCAAAAUUGAGGCGCCUUACAGUAGCCUCAAAGGCGGCUUCACCUGCUCCUAAAGUUGGCCAUGGUUCUUUUGGAACAAAUGAACUUCAUGUAUCAUCAGACAAUGGUAAUGACCAAACGUCAAACCUUGAGAUGCCUUGUGAUGAAAUUUCUCAUUUGUAUGUUUUACCAGAUGGUGUUGGACGACCCAAUGCAUCUCCCAGUCCAACGGAUCGUCAUUGGAAUCGUCCAAAAAGAAAGGCACAAGAGCUAGAUGAUGUUUGUUGUGGUAUUGAUAUUUUAGAUAUAAUUGUCAUUGAUGAUAACGACUUUGUUGAUGAGGAUUCGAACUCGGCCUCGUUAUUUGAAUUGGCAAAACAAGUAAGGCCCCCAUCUCUUUUUUUUUCAAAGUUUUGAAUCUGAUCAUCUUUUUGUUCUUACUUUUUUUUUUAGUUGGACCUUCAAGAACUAUAUGGUGGCGACCUUAACAAUGGCGCGGUUGCAGAUUUCACAGUAGAUCUUAAUGAUCUUGAUGCGGCUGCAAAAGACUUUCAUUCUUCCAUUAAUGAUGAUCAGCUUCAUUGGAAGUAGUUCCACCAAGAAAGUCACAUUCUAAUGAUGUGAUGCCUUUAUUGGAAGUAGUUCCGCCAAGAAAGUCACCAAGUAGGCCAUUUGCGACCUGGUGCUCCUACUUUAGAGCCACAAGAAACCAUUUACCGCGCCAAAUCAACCUUUGUUUCUGAGAUGUGGGGCGCAUUGUGUGGAUGGAUUACACAAUUUUCCUUAGGUUCUUCAUAUGGCUUUACAGAAUUGGAGUCAAGUAUUGCUUCAACUCUUGAGGAGAUUAGAAAAGUAAAUAUUAUUGAUGUUUCUUCUUUAGAGGAUCAUGUCGAGAAUUUCUUCAAGUCGUACGCAGAGUAUGAUAGUUUAAGAUCAUCAAAGAUGACUAAAGAAUCACACGAAAAGGCCCUCUCUGAUGUACAACGCCGGCUCGAUGGUGCAAAGCUAGCAUAUGAAAAGUUGAAUGGAUCCAUGGAUAAACUUCAAGCAACUCUAGCAGAUGUGGAGAAAGACUUAAAAGCCUUGACUUCCAAGAAAAAGAAGGUCAGAAGAAUCAAAAUGGGUUACAACAAGUAUAGUACAAAACCGAAAUCUUGACGUCUUGAUUCAUUCCUUCAACUUGAGGUGAAAGAAUGAAAAAUGUGACGUCGAACACUAAACAUUACCACGGAGUCAUGAUAAGCAAGGACGGACUAACGUAAAUAAAGCAUUUUGAAAAAGAAAAAAAAAUCACCACAAGGCAAUGGAAAUCAACACAAUAAGAGUAGCAAUAGCUUGAUGCCAAACUUCCAAAAUUCAAUAUAUACACAUUUAGUCAUGCUCGGGAACAAAAGGCUAAUAGCUCAAAGAGAACGAGAACUCUAUUUCUUACUGAGAACUAGCGAGAAAACAGAACAAACAAGCAAAUACUACUGUACUAAAAGCAGAAAAUUAAGACUUAAACCAACAAAGGAAGUAUAAAAUCAAUCAGCCAUACCAAACAGCAAACUACAGUCAGAAUAAGAAAAAAAAAAGUAAAAUGAAGAAGUAUACAUUCUUCGGAGCAGCGACUGGACGACAGCGAGCUUGAAAGAGAGCGACUUCUCGCACAACUUUGACUCGAGCAGCAAACCAAGAAAUUCAAAGUAAUUUCAGACGAAACCUUUCUUAGAACUUAGAAUUAGAAAAUCGCUUUAAAAUUUCUUGAAUGUAAAAAUGAGUAUUGUCAAAGAACCAAGCUCUAAAACCUGUCCCAUUCACUUGAGUGUAGAGGGUUAUUUAUAGGGGAAAUAGGGGGUCGAUUUAUGAGGGAAAACGAGUGGGAAAUUGAAUUAGAAAUUCGAAUUCCUUUUUUCCAAAGCCAUCAGUGAAGAGAUUUAGAAAUCCCUGAAAAAAUGGGGAAAUGAGACGUGAGGGCUUGACGUUGAGGCUGCUAGGGUAUGGGUUCUGCAGGGUAGUUGGAUGAGAUUUUUGCAGCGCGAUUUCUGGGUUGCGUGAUUUGGUUCGCUGGCCGAGUUUCUGGGUUUCUGCAUUUGCGCGUGAAAAAGAAGACGUAGGGGUGGGGUAUUGUUGGUAUGUUAUUGCGGCUGUUGGGUUGUAGGCGUAAGGGAAAAGAAGAAGUGAAGUCGGGUCGGUUGAUUGUGGGUGUUGCUGGAAAAGGGGUAUUGAAUUGGAAUUAUUGUUGAGUUGUUGUUUGGAAUGGGCUGGAAUUAUUUGUUGUAUAGGGAAUUAGAAUUGGGCCUUUAGGAAGUGGCCCAAAAAUUGUUUUUUUUUUAAAAAAAAUGGGAUAGGCAAUUGACUAAAACUUGUUAUUAAAUAAUGGAUUUCAAUUAUAGCCUAAUAGAAUUUAAUUGGUGAAUUCGGCUAAAAUUUAAACAAGAUGAGUUAACAUAAAUUAAUUAAUGAACUUCUUAAUCUUAACGAAAUAAAAUAAUUAACUCAAAUAUGAACUAAAUAAUUUAAGAUAUAAACUAUUAUAUAACUAACUAAUUAACCAUAUAUUUAAUUAAAACAAAAUCUUUUUGAGACGAUUUUCGAAUAUUCAUAAAAUAUACUAAUUAUAUACAUAAUUAUGUGAAACAUAUAUAUUAUCUAAAACUUAUAAAAAGUGACAAGACUAUUUAAAACAACUUGCGAACUAUAUUAUUAAUUAUAUUUUUUUGAAAAAUUUCUAAAACUAAUUAUUUUAAAUCGCUUGAAAUUGAAGAAGCUCAAUGAUUAAUUUAUAUUGUGGAGGUCUAAAAUUGGGUGUCAACAAUCGCAAUAGCCGCCGGAGGAAUAGAAUAUAACGAAGAAAAAAAGAGGAAAGGAUUUGGUGGGUGAAUUCAGGAUGAGGUGGGGCUCGACAUUUUCUUUUUUGUUAUCGCCGGAGGAAUCAAUGGUGAAUGGCAAUGGCGGAAUGACAGAAAAGAAGAUGAAGAAGAAAGGGCAAUAGGUUAGAUGGGGUGCGGGGUUAGGUGGAGGUGGGGGGAGAGAUUUUUUUUUUAUCAAUUUAAUUUUUUCUAUAUUAUUAAAGGCUGAAAAUUAUUUUUUAUUUUUCAAAAUUAAAAUUGUGGGCCCAUGUGCUACGUGUCAUAAUUCUAUUCGUGAUUUUGUCAACAUAAUGUGUGUGAAUUACACGCACAAUAUUUUUAAAACUAGUUGUCAUUUUAUGUUCAGUAGAUAAAUAUUCGUUAAUAUUAAAGUGUCUAAAUGAAUUAUGUUGACAACUUUAAAGGACUAUCGAUGACUUAAGCCGUAUAUCCAUUAAUAUCAUGACAAAUAAAAAUGAACGAGACAUUUCUAUGAAAUAUCUUGGAAACAUCCCUUUCAUUUCUGUCAUGCUUCUUUGGGGAUUGUAAAUGACUUGACCCAUUAUUAAUUUUCCAGGAACAAAUAAUACCUGUGGGUAUAUGUAGAAGCUGCUUCACUCAUCUUUCUUUCAUUAUUAAAACAAAAAAAUUAUCUAAAAAUCCCUUAAAAUUAUUGUUAUCAAAUAUGCCUACACAGUUUGUUGUAGGAGAAUUAUCUUCUUCUUCCAACUUGUCUUACGAUGUAUUUCUCAGUUUCAGAGGCGAAGAUACUCGCAAAACCUUCACCGGUCAUCUUUACACCCAAUUGUGUCAAGUCGGAGUUAAUACCUUCAUAGAUGAUGAGGAAUUAAGAAAGGGAGACGUCAUUUCAACCGAACUUGAGAAAGCAAUUGAACAAUCAAGGGUUGCCA
rnacentral:lncRNA from 1 species